rnacentral:lncRNA from 1 species
UGGAUAGAUAGAUGGAUAGGCGCAUAUUCAUACGCACGUAUGAAAGAGGCUAGAAUAUGAAUGUCAAUACACAUUGUACGUAUGACUGACCAAAAGAAUCUAGACAGAAAAAAAGCCAUUGGAGACAGAAAGUGAGAAAAUCCAAAAUCUAAAGAAAGAGAGAGAGAGGGGGGGGGGAGAGAGAAACAUAGCAGAGAGAUAAAUAAAAGGACUCUCAAGGUCCACGAGGAGGUUAAAGGACUCUUGUCGGAUUGACAAUUAACAGGUUGGCACAAUAGCAGGCACACACAGACAUAAUGUGCAUGCAUACAUACAUACAUAUAUACAUACAUACAUACAUACAUACAUACAUACAUACAUACAUACCUAAAUACCUAAAUACAUACUUACACAUAUACAUGCAUACAUAAAUACAUACAUAUACAUACAUAUAUAUAUAUGUGUGUGUAUAUAUAUAUCUAUAUCUAUAUCUAUAUAUAUGUAUAUGUAUAUAUAUCUAUAUAUAUGUGUGUAUAUGUUUCUAUAUAUAUGUGUGUGUAUAUAUAUGUAUAUGUAUAUAUAUACGUGUGUAUAUAUGUAUGAGUGUAUAUAUAUACAUGUAUGUAUGUGUGUGUAUAUAUAUAUAUGUAUGUAUAUGUAUAUAUAUGUAUAUAUAUAUAUGUUUAUAUAUAUAUGUGUAUAUAUAUAUGUGUAUAUAUAUAUAUGUGUAUAUCUAUAUGUGUGUGUAUAUAUAUAUAUAUAUAUAUAUAGAAAUAUAUAUAUAUAUACAUACAUACAUACAUAUAUACAUAUGUAUGUAUAUAUAUAUGUAUAUAUAUGUGAAUCAAUACUUGAAGACAUACGUGCGUACAUACACUGUUAUGCAUGAAUAUAUAUCUACGCCCAUGUGCGCGUGCGUGCGUGCGUGCACACCCACACACAUUUUGAUGCAGAUAAUCACGUACAUGCAAAGUGCAUACGCCGACACGCACGCACCUUAAGAGGAAACACAGGUAGGAGUAAGGCAUAAUAUAGGUGAAGGACAGGUAGGAGACAGCAAGCAGAGUGGAACAGCAAAGAUUGCGGGUUGUUAUUUAGUAAGACGUAAAAAAAUCAAAAGUCACCUGUAUUAACCAGUAUUAACCAGUUAUUAGUAUUAUUCUAUAAGAAAUCAACGUUUUGUAGAAUAUUCGAAUGGAAUAAUCUGAUUGGAGACGGGUGGCGGGGUGGAGGUAAGAGGGUUCGGGUCGAGAGAAAGACAUUGUGGAAGGAAAUAAGGAAGGAUAUGAAGAAAGAAUAUGAAGACAUAUCAGCUGUAGAAUGAAGACCAUACACGAUUAUAUACACAUUGUAUACACUCAUACACGCACAUUCAUGCAUUGAUGUAGAAUGUUCUCAACGGUACUCGAACUGAAAGUCUCCAUAUCUGGCCACCCCUGCCCACGUCCUUCUCUCGUUUCUUGCUUUUCCUUCUUUUCGUUGCAUUCUCAUCAGACGCUAUCUCCAUUUCCUAAUAGUUAAUAAUGAUAUAAUAUAUGUAUUCACACACACACACACACACACACACUCACACACACACACUCACACACACACACUCACACACACUCACACACACAUAAAUGAAUUCAUGCGUGUAGAUAAAUAUUCUCUAAUACACACAUAUAUACACAUAUACAUAUGCAGACACAUCACACACCUUUUAUAUAUAUAUACAUAUAUAUAUAUAUAUAUAUAUAUAUAUAUAUAUAUAUAUAUAUAUAUAUAUAUAUAUAUAUACAUACAUAUACAUCACAUAUACAUCACACACACAUACAUAUACACAUACAUAUAUAUACACACAUAUAUAUAUAAACAUAUACAUAUAUUUACGUAAAACAAUGUUUGACUACAGAUGUGUACAUAGGUAUGUGUGUGUGUGUGUGUGUGUGUGUGUGUGUGUGAGUGUAUGCGCAGAGAUACGUACGUACACGCAUACAUACACUCACAUACACAGGCAUACGCAUACUGAUAUGUCGAGGUUGACUUUGCCGUUCAUCCUUUCGUGGUCGAUAAACUAAGUGCCAGCUGCUUACUGGAGUCGAUCUAAUCGACUGGCCCGCUCCCUUAAAAAAAAAAAACAACACAUUUCGGGUCUUGUGCCUAGAUUAGAAAAGAUGUAAUACACGGAGCUGUUUGGAAAAUAUUGCCACGUUGUGAUAAUUAUUGGUUAUACUAAUACGUAAAUGGUGGUGAAUGCUAAGAAUAAGAUGUAGGAAACGGGGGAAAAAUAUGUAUAUAUAUAUAUAUAUGCUUUCAGCCAUACAUAUACCCGUAUCGUAUAUAUAUAUAUAUAUAUAUAUACACACACACACAAACAAAUAUAUAUUAAUUUAUAUACAUGCAUACAUACAUACAUACAUACAUACAUACAUACAUCCUUAUAUACUUACAUACAUGCAUACAUACAUGCAUACAUACAUACAUACAUACAUACAUACAUACAUACAUACAUACAUACAUACAUACAUACAUACAUAGGUAG